CUUCAGGUCGGGGACAACCACUGGAAACGGUGGCUAAUACCGGAUAUACCUAACAGUGAAAGAUUAAUUGCCUGAAGAGGAGCUCGCGUCCGAUUAGCUAGUUGGUGGGGUAAAAGCCUACCAAGGCGACGAUCAGUAGCUGGUCUGAGAGGACGAUCAGCCACACUGGAACUGAGACACGGUCCAGACUCCUACGGGAGGCAGCAGUGGGGAAUUUUCCGCAAUGGGCGAAAGCCUGACGGAGCAAUACCGCGUGAGGGAGGAAGGCUCUUGGGUUGUAAACCUCUUUUCUCAGGGAAGAAUACAUGACGGUACCUGAGGAAUCAGCAUCGGCUAACUCCGUGCCAGCAGCCGCGGUAAUACGGAGGAUGCAAGCGUUAUCCGGAAUGAUUGGGCGUAAAGCGUCCGCAGGUGGCAUUGAAAGUCUGCUGUCAAAGAGUCUGGCUCAACCAGAUGUCGGCAGUGGAAACUACACUCGCUAGAGUACGUUCGGGGCAGAGGGAAUUCCUGGUGUAGCGGUGAAAUGCGUAGAGAUCAGGAAGAACACCGGUGGCGAAGGCGCUCUGCUAGGCCGUAACUGACACUGAGGGACGAAAGCUAGGGGAGCGAAUGGGAUUAGAUACCCCAGUAGUCCUAGCCGUAAACGAUGGAUACUAGGUGUUGCUUGUAUCGACCCGAGCAGUACCGUAGCUAACGCGUUAAGUAUCCCGCCUGGGGAGUACGCAGGCAACUGUGAAACUCAAAGGAAUUGACGGGGGCCCGCACAAGCGGUGGAGUAUGUGGUUUAAUUCGAUGCAACGCGAAGAACCUUACCAGGACUUGACAUGUCGCGAACCCGUGUGAAAGCAGGGGGUGCCUUCGGGAGCGCGAACACAGGUGGUGCAUGGCUGUCGUCAGCUCGUGUCGUGAGAUGUUGGGUUAAGUCCCGCAACGAGCGCAACCCUCGUUUUUAGUUGCCAUCAUUCAGUUGGGCACUCUAGAGAGACUGCCGGUGACAAACCGGAGGAAGGUGGGGAUGACGUCAAGUCAGCAUGCCCCUUACGUCCUGGGCUACACACGUACUACAAUGCGGCGAACAGAGGGCAGCGAGCUAGCGAUAGCAAGCUAAUCCCGGAAAUCGGCGCUCAGUUCAGAUCGCAGGCUGCAACUCGCCUGCGUGAAGUUGGAAUCGCUAGUAAUUGCAGGUCAGCAUACUGCAGUGAAUUCGUUCCCGGGCCUUGUACACACCGCCCGUCACACCAUGGAAGCUGGUAGUGCCCGAAGUCAUUACCCCAACCUUUCGGGGAGGGGGAUGCCUAAGGCAGGACUGGUGACUGGGGUGAAGUCGUAACAAGGUAAC
rnacentral:rRNA from 1 species